UGGCUCCCACUUCAGGAGCCUCACCAAAGACUCUCUGCUCCUCACUAUAUCUACGUUAGCCUUCUGGAGCUUUUCCUUCUGACUGGAUCCGGAGACGGGGCUCACUCAGAGGAACUGAUGCGAUGCACCGUACUAUGUGCUUGGGAAAUACGACAGAAGAACAAGACAUGUUCACUAAAGCUUACAUUCUGAUGAUGUCAAGAAGAUGGGAUUUUUCCCUCAGAAGGACAUCCAUGGCUCCUCCCUGCAACAGUCCUCCCAGAAUUUCCUACAAGCCCAAAGGAUGGAUGGAUGGACCUAAAUCCAUUGCUCUGACCUCCUCUAAUUGUCCAUCACCCCUCCAGUUUUCAGCCUCUCUUACUGGACUCCCGUCUUCUUUGAGUUUCUCUAGGAAUUGUUUCGAGAUUG